UACGUAGGGUGCGAGCGUUGUCCGGAAUUAUUGGGCGUAAAGAGCUCGUAGGCGGUGUGUCACGUCGUUCGUGAAAACCUGCAGCUUAACUGUGGGCGUGCGGUCGAUACGGGCAUCACUGGAGUUCGGCAGGGGAGACUGGAAUUCCUGGUGUAGCGGUGAAAUGCGCAGAUAUCAGGAGGAACACCGGUGGCGAAGGCGGGUCUCUGGGCCGGAACUGACGCUGGAGGAGCGAAAGCGUGGGGAGCGAACAGG
rnacentral:rRNA from 1 species